rnacentral:lncRNA from 1 species
AAGAUUUUGAUUAUUUAGAUUUAGUAUUUUAUUUUUUCAAUUCAAUUCUUGUUUUUAUUCAAAAUAUUUUUUUUACUUCAUCUUGUUGGAGGAAGUUGUUCGAACUCUGGGUUGCCAAGAAUUUGUUCUUGGAGAGUUGAUUAGAGCCACUGAUUGAGUUUGUGAGGAAAUCUUUCUUGAAGGGUUGAAUCCAAAAAUUAUCCUGCUCUUCCAUAUUCCAUCUAUUUAUAUAUUCCAUCUUUCACCUUUACUUUUGUUUUCUUUAUGUAUCUUGUAGUUUAGUUUCAUUUUAGUUACUAUACUUGAUGCUUUGAUGUUCUUAGGUUUCAAGAAAGCAUCUUCUCAAGUCAGAUUUAUUCCUUGGAGGCUUUAAAUCAUUAGGUCAUUCUUCUUGCCAUAAAACCAACUUUAUUCUUUCAUUUCCUUUACCUUUCUUAGUCUUUUCUUUUCUUGGAGGUUUAUCUUAUUUCUCACUUUCUUUGUUAUUUUCAGGCUUAAAAACUCACUUUUCUUGCUACCCAUGACACUAGGAUUUGGUCUAGAGCUAACAAGUCAAAAUCGAGUCAUUUUCUCUUGAAACAACUUUGGAUUAACUUGGGACCUUAUGUAUACUGCCCUCCUCUUAUAUUGUACCAGAUUUUGGGCCUCUUGUUAUCCCUAAACUACAUUUGUGCCUUCGUUCUACCAUCAUGAGAAUAAUAAGAAACUUCAAUUCUCACACAAGGUAUGAGAUCCGUUUAUGGUUAUUUUAAAGAGAUUGAAAUAUUGUUGAAUUGUGCUAUGUUACAUGAGGAUGAGGAUACCACUAUCGUUCAAUUUCUAACUUAUUUCAAUAAUAAUAUCCAAGACUUACUUGAAACGCAAGAUUUGUUGGAUAUUCAAGAUUUGCUUCAAAAUGCAAUCUUAUUUAAAGAAUAGGUGAAAUGACAUGGUAACUUUUGGAAUGCACUUUCAGUCAUUUGGAAAAAUUUGAAGUCUUCCCCACCUUUAAGGUUUCAAAUCUUCCACAAGCUCUUAAACUUAUUCUUGGUCAACUUACGAUACUCAACCUUAACACUCUAAAAGCAUGUGGUAAAUUUACAAGGUACACCAAAUAAUUCCAUGUUUUCCACUACUUCACUUACAUCUAUUAUUUCUACUGGUAGGUAAUGUUCUCGUGAGAUGUAAUGUUUUAAAUGUACUGGCUAUGGAAACCUUACCAUGAUUAUCCUAAUUGCAACUUAAUGAUAAUCUAUUGAUAAGGAAAUAUUGGAACCCAAUGACGAAGGGGAGGAACUUGAUCCAUCCCAAUGUCAUGUGGUCGCCAAGCACUUAGUGCAUAGGUUUGAGAUGAUUCAAACAUGCAGUGCGACACAAUCUUUCAAACAUGCUUUAAGGUUCAAGGUAAACUUUCUUCCUUGAUAAUUGACAGUGAAAGUUGCGAUUAAGUGUUUAGUAACUUAUUGGUAGAUACUUAGAAAUUACCUUGUCGAAAACAUUAUAAGCCAUAUCAUCUUCAAUGGCUUAAGGAAGGUUCUGAGGUAAAUGUUCUUAAAUAGUUCCUUAUUUCAUUUCCCAUUAGAAACUAUUCUGGUGAUGUUUGGUAUGAUGUAGUCCUAAUGCAUGUCGUCUAUUUACUUUUUGGGGCACCCUUGGUAAUUUAAUCAAGAUGUAAUCCACCAUGGUAAACAGAACUAGUAAUCCUUUUUCUCUAAAGGGAAGAAAUUUACUUUGACUCCCAUGGCUCAAAAUGAAAUUUACAAAGAGUAUGUUAAAAUGUCAAAAAAUUGUUCUGGGUUAAGGUAGGUAAGGAAUUAAAAGCCAAGAGUGAAGAGACCAAUAGUUAGAAAAGCCAAAAUAAUGAUACAUUGAUGAGUGCAUCCCUCUAUGAAAAGAAAAGAGUGAAACAACACUUUUAUUUGAGAGAAAAAGAUGAGAGGGGAGCCCUUUUCUCAAAAAAAUCCUUUUAUCCUAACCCAAUUUAGGUAAAUAAAUUUAUCUUUAUCUAACCUUAAAAAAAAUUACCUAGUAUGUUUGUUUCUCUUUUGCAAGAAUAUGAUGAUUUCUUUGCUAAUACGUUGAUACGAGAGACCGAAAUUGGAUUUUCAGAGCUCGUACAAGACACUCAAAGUUUAUGACUUUUUCUUCAAAUGAAAUUAACUUAUUGCAAUAGUAGCUUCUAGAAUGAAGUUUGUGGGUUCAAAUCUGAAAAUUUCUAACAAGAAUUAGAUGAUAAAUCAAUGGAAAAUAAAUAAUUAAAGAAUCAAAGAUGAUAAAUAAAAGAUGAUAGAUAUUUAUCGAAAGAAGAUGAAUGAUGUUGAUUAUAAAUAGUUGGAUUGAUAGCCUAGCCCUAUUUGCUAAAUUUGCACCAAAAAAGAACUAUAUUGGGCUUAAUCAACCAUCCCAGUUGACUUAAAUUAGGCAAGCUAAAUUUAUGAUGAACCCCCUCCACAAUUUUGAAGAAUUGAAGCAAAAGUUUUAUCAAGAAAGAACCAAGAAACUAGUGUUGUAAGCAAAUCUCCCUUAGAGUAUUUUAUUACUAAAAAAUAAAGCAAAAUACUUAUGGUGGCUAGAGAUGCUUAGUUAUUUGUAAGCAUGUAAGUUCUACCUGAACCUUAAGGACUUAGUCAACUAUCUUGCAAAGUAAGUAACAUUAAGCUCCUUAGACCUAGUCAAACUCUUAUUAAUAUAAAAUAUUAAAAAUUAGAAAUAAAUAAAUAUAACACUUAAUAAAUACAUUUUUUUAGAUCAUAAAUAUCAAACAUUAAAAUUGAACACAAUAUGAUUUAAAAGCUGAUUCGACAUAUAAUACUUGAAAUUGAGGAUUUAUUCAUGUAUAGAAAAUUUUAUUAAUGUAGUUUUCACUAAAAUAGUCAUAUCUUAAGCUCCAAAAGUCAAUAUAAGGUGAUUCAAAUUGUGUUUCGAAUCCAAGAGACAUUUUUUUCAAUCAAAAGACAUCUCAACCCAAAAUACCUGCAUCUCAUACAAAAAUGUGUCGUAAGUUGACUGAUCAUUUAGACUUGAAAUUUGACAUCGUUGGUGAAACUAAUUUAAUGAGUCUCAACCCAUCUGUGCUUGCUUCAUAUGCCUAAGGGAUUGCCACCUAUCACAUAUUUUUGUGAAAAGCUACAUGGUGCACAACUUAAUUAUUUGAUCUAUAAUAAGGAAUUGUUAGCAUUAGUUCCAGUACUUGAAGUUUCACAACAUUAUCUCUUACUUAACUUUGUUUUAUUAAAACUUCAGAUUUUUUGCAUGAACUUCUUUUAUGGCUUUAUAUGUGAUCUACCACGAAUGGCACUAUUAUUUACGUUCCUUUUUACCCAUAAGUAUAGCUUGUUUAAUAGCAAAUCAAAGAAUCUUUGUAUAUAUUUAGGUUUUUGAUCUGUCAUAAUUCGAUGUAGUAGAUUAAACUAGUUUUCCCAUUUAAGGAGCUUGAAUACAAGCAUUUUUGUUAUGUUUUCGUUAAGUUUUCUUAGUUUUAUUUAUAUUCAAAUAAAAUGUGCUAAUUGAGUCUUUUAUUGACCUUAGCGGUCGAAUAAGGCCUAUGGGUGAGCCAACGCACUUUGUGAGUGUGCAAGAAUGGAGAAAGCUCAAGACUGCUUUUGAUGUCACGAUACAAACAGAGGGUGUCACGACAUACCUUUGAAAAUAGUUGAAAAGGAGUAUACUGAUUUCUAUGUCGAGAUACAUGUUCUAGUGUGCCAUGACAUCGACUCUGUGACAGAAAUUAAACAUGAAUCAAGGGUGCUUUGGUCUGUACAAUCAAACUUAAAGCUCAGGAACGUCAGCUAACCUCUGGUUAAGGACGAAGGCUACUUGAGGGCUAUAAAUAGGCUCAUUUGUCACUUGUUAUGGACAGCAUUCCUUUAGCCCAAAUUCUCUGUGUAAGAUUUAGUUUAGUAUUUUCUUUCAUUAUUAGGUUUUAGAUUUAUUUUGGUUGUUCUUUUUGAUUUCAAGAGAUCUAAAUUAUGGAAGCAUUCAAACUUUGUGGAUUCGCGAUUAAUCUCAAUACAAUCAAGCUCUUUC